AGGAGCUGGAGGCCCUCAGAUUCUCUGAGAUGGCCACAGCUGCAUCUGUGAGCCGGCAGACUGGGAAGGCCUGCAUAUUUGGCACAACGUCCCUCGUCUCCCACUGCCUGAGGAAGCGGGAAGGAGAACCUAGAAAAAGUUCUUUUCAAGGUCCCCUGGCUGCUGGACAUGGUGGUGUCCCAGGUGGAGGCUGUAGCCUCCCUGACUUCCUCAGGCCGAGUCAUCGUCUUUCCCAGGUUUAAAUGGGAGUUUGCACCCAAACUACCAUCUGGGAAACCCUGCAGGGCCU